rnacentral:rRNA from 1 species
UACGAAGGGGGCUAGUGUUGUUCGGAUUUACUGGGCGUAAAGCGCACGUAGGCGGAUUGUUAAGUCAGGGGUGAAAUCCUGGAGCUCAACUCCAGAACUGCCUUUGAUACUGGCAAUCUCGAGUCCGGAAGAGGUAAGUGGAACUCCUAGUGUAGAGGUGGAAUUCGUAGAUAUUAGGAAGAACACCAGUGGCGAAGGCGGCUUACUGGUCCGGAACUGACGCUGAGGUGCGAAAGCGUGGGGAGCAAACAGG